UCCAGGAUAUUGUUCCAACAAUACUUGUUUUCCAAAGGAAAUGGAAAAACGUACAACGUCAUGAAUACAACAUUCGACACAGCGAUACCACACGCGUCGUACGAAUUUGUGUACACUGGAGAAGUCUGUGCCGUAAUAGUAGUCAAAUCCAUUGGGACAGUUGGUGAAGAUGCACAAAGAGUGGCUGAGUAUUCUACGGAAGCACACACAAAAUGCGUCCUUUGGGUCAAACAUGGCCAUACAGACAACGAAGAGCCGUGCUGCGGGCAGGUUUUAAGUUCCAAGUGCGGA